rnacentral:rRNA from 1 species
GAUGAACGCUGGCGGCGUGCCUAAUACAUGCAAGUCGAGCGAACAGACGAGGAGCUUGCUCCUCUGACGUUAGCGGCGGACGGGUGAGUAACACGUGGAUAACCUACCUAUAAGACUGGGAUAACUUCGGGAAACCGGAGCUAAUACCGGAUAAUAUAUUGAACCGCAUGGUUCAAUAGUGAAAGACGGUUUUGCUGUCACUUAUAGAUGGAUCCGCGCCGCAUUAGCUAGUUGGUAAGGUAACGGCUUACCAAGGCAACGAUGCGUAGCCGACGUGAGAGGGGGGUCGGCCACAAGGGAAGUGAGACAGGGGCCAGGGGCCUAAGGGAGGCAGCAGUAGGGAAUCUUCCGCAAUGGGCGAAAGCCUGACGGAGCAACGCCGCGUGAGUGAUGAAGGUCUUCGGAUCGUAAAACUCUGUUAUUAGGGAAGAACAAAUGUGUAAGUAACUAUGCACGGCUUGACGGUACCUAAUCAGAAAGCCACGGCUAACUACGUG